ACUGACAUCCGCGAAGCUGCUGGCGCGUGGACUGUGUGGGGAGGGCGCGUGGGGUGAAGGUGGGUCUGCGAGAGGGUCCGCUGGGAGGCUGGCGUCUGGCGUUGGCGCCUGAAAGAGAUCAGACCAGCUGUUGGGUGUCACUCAAGUCCUGCUGCUCUUAGCCCUCCUAGCACCCCCGACCCGAGGGUGCUGUGCUUGUGCCCACGCGCCGGUGAAGCCCCGAGACUCAGCGGGGAGACCCCGGGUCCGGCCACCCCCGAGCUGCAGUAGUCGGGUCUCACCGGCAUCUGCUACACAAACCCGGAUUGGUGCCCUGGCUCCUUUCGUUCAAGUCAUUGGAACCCCCACUCAAAAUCGUCAAAAUGAAGACGAUGGUCGUGUCUCCUUCUUGGGGGUUGGAUUAAAAGGGCCUAAUGUGAGAGACGGAAAGCAAAGCUCCCGGCACCGGGCCGGGCACACGGUGGGCGCUAGAUAAUGACCGCUAUUCACUCAACUGCAGCCAGUAAUUAUGGGCGAGGGCCAUCUAGGUGCUUGCAUGAGAACCAGUCAUAUCGGUGAAGAAGACGGCCAUGGGCUUAGGUUUUGGUGGCAAAACAGCUCCCCUGCCCCAAAAAAGAAAAGAGAAUAGAAAAGAAAAAGGCAUAAUAAAUAUCAGCCACACAUUGUGAUAAGUAUAUUGAAAGAAACGAGACAGAAUAAGAAAAGAGGAAGCUUCAGUAUCCUGUCACGUUGCCACUCCCUUCUGAUAACAGAAGCAUCUUUUCUUCUGUCCCCUUACUCCCUCCCAGAAACCCUGACACCCUUUCCAUUUAAAUAGCAGCACCCUAGGCCUCCAACAUCCCUGAGCUAAAUAUUCAAGUCCACAUGUCCCUUCUUGCCUGGAAAGAGACAGAACCCAGCACCAGCCAGGCCCCUGCCCUUCCCUCACUCUCAGUUCCCUGAGCCUCAAUUCCUUAUCUGUAAAAUGGAAAUGAUAGCCUAAGGCAUAAGGUCUGAGGACCUCAUGAGAUCAAGCAUGGGGCCUGGCACUCUGUAAACAUCGAAUCAACCAGAUUUUCUUUGCCCAAACAGCCCUCUUUUCUUACACUUUCUUCCUCGUUAUUCUUCUGAGUAUGCCACUUGUAAAGGAUAAGCCAUGAGGUUGCCCUGCAGAGUGCAAGAUGGUUGCAAUAUUUGAGAGCCUAUUGUGUGUGAGGCCCUGGAGGAUGGCAGAGGGAACAGGAGGAAAACAAAGUCACAUGCUUUACCCUCAAACAAAGGGCUGUCUGCGAUAGUUACAAUGUAUAUAUUAAAGGCUGUCUGUGAUAGUUAAGAUGUAUA
rnacentral:lncRNA from 1 species